ensembl:lncRNA
GGACAGUAGGACAGGAUGACCUUUGGAUGACCAAUCCAUGACCUAGGGUCAUCAGGGCGGCCGGUAAUAUAAUGAGAUAUAAAAACAUUUGGGUUAUAAUCUAGGUACCAUUCUACCGUGAUCAUUCCAUGGUAGUGUCACUCAGAGGCAAACAAACAAGAGAAAGACUCAGUGGUUCCAUGCAUAAUUGGGUGGUACCAUGCAUAGUCGGGUGGUAGGGUGGUACCAUACAUAGUCGGGUGGUAGGGUGGUCCCAUGCAUAGUCGGGUGGUAGGGUGGUUCCAUACAUAGUCGGGUGGUAGGGUGGUCCCAUGCAUAGUCGACUGUUAGGGUGGUCCCAUGCAUAGUCGGGUGUUAGGGUGGUCCCAUGCAUAGUCGGGUGGUAGGGUGGUUCCAUACAUAGUCGGGUGGUAGGGUGGUCCCAUGCAUAGUCAGGUGGUUCCUUCCAGCAACUCCGUAUUGCGGAGAAUUGAGGAGUGUGACGGGCGACUAACUACCACAGUUCCCAUAACGGGUGAGUCAUCAUCAUCGUCUUUCAGACCUUUUUAGCAGAUCUCUCUCUCUCCGUCCUUGUCUCUCUCUCUCUCUCUCUCUCCCCCUCCUUCUCUCUCUCUCUCUCUCUCUCUCCUUGUCUCUCUCUCCUAUUCUCUCUCUCUCUC